rnacentral:rRNA from 1 species
UUAAUUGUGAAAUCCCAAAGCUUAACUUUGGAACUGCAAUUAAAACUGCUCGACUAGAGUUUGAUAGAGGAAAGCGGAAUACAUAGUGUAGAGGUGAAAUUCGUAGAUAUUAUGUAGAACACCAGUUGCGAAGGCGGCUUUCUGGAUCAACACUGACGCUGAGGCGCGAAAGUAUGGGUAGCAAAGAGGAUUAGAUACCCUCGUAGUCCAUACCAUAAACGAUGAUUGCUAGAUGUUGGAAAUUUAUUUUCAGUAUCGCAGCUAACGCAUUAAGCAAUCCGCCUGGGGAGUACGACCGCAAGGUUGAAACUCAAAGGAAUUGACGGGGGCCCGCACAAGCGGUGGAGCAUGUGGUUUAAUUCGAUGAUACGCGAGGAACCUUACCAGGGCUUGAAAGUUAGUGAAGAAUGUGGAAACAUGUUCGUCAGCAAUGACACGAAACUAGGUGCUGCAUGGCUGUCGUCAGCUCGUGCCGUGAGGUGUUGGGUUAAGUCCCGCAACGAGCGCAACCCCCAUCUUUAGUUGCCAGC